rnacentral:lncRNA from 1 species
AUGGAGUUUUUAUGGAGAUGCAAGCUUUUUAUCACAAAAACCAUCAUCAAAAACCCAUUUAUAAUCUUGAAAGGACGUAUAAACCAAUUUGAGGGAAUGCGAUAAUAUAAAACGCACCCAAAGGUUGAUGGUUUGUUUGCUGCAAAUGGAUAUGAUGCCUAGAAACCCACAAUAAAAAAUCUAGGUUGUCGGAUUGGAUUAUGUUUGAGAGACUGAAAUCUGUAUGACUUUUUGUGGAAUAUUUGUUU